rnacentral:rRNA from 1 species
CCCUAUGGGGUGCAGCAGGCGGCCGUGUGUGUUAGGCGUGAAAGCCCGAGGCUCAACCUCGGAAUUGCACCUAAAACUACAUGGCUAGAGUACUGGAGAGGGUAGCGGAAUUCACGGUGUAGCAGUGAAAUGCGUAGAUAUCGUGAGGAACACCAAUGGCGAAGGCAGCUACCUGGACAGUUACUGACGCUCAGGCACGAAAGCGUGGGGAGCAAAAG